GACGAACGCUGGCGGCGUGCUUAACACAUGCAAGUCAAGGGGGCCCGCAAGGGUAACCGGCGAACGGGUGCGUAACACGUGAGCAAUCUGCCUCGAUGUGGGGGAUAGCCGGCCCAACGGCCGGGUAAUACCGCAUACGCUCUCUGGGUGGCAUCACUUGGAGAGGAAACAUUUUUGGCAUUGAGAGGAGCUCGCGGCCUAUCAGCUAGUUGGUGGGGUAAUGGCCUACCAAGGCUUUGACGGGUAGCUGGUCUGAGAGGAUGGCCAGCCACAUUGGGACUGAGAUACGGCCCAGACUCCUACGGGAGGCAGCAGUGGGGAAUAUUGCGCAAUGGCCGAAAGGCUGACGCAGCGACGCCGCGUGGGGGAUGAAGCAUUCGGUGUGUAAACCCCUGUUGCCCGGGACGAACAACUGGUUUUGACCAGUCUGACGGUACCGGGUGAGGAAGCACCGGCUAACUCCGUGCCAGCA
rnacentral:rRNA from 1 species